CCCUUAGAUGUUCUGGGCUGCACACGUACUACACUGGCAGGUUCAGCGAGCUUCAUGCCCUGAUCUGAAAGGAAUGGGAAAUCUUUUCAAAACCUGCCGUGCUUGGGAUAGAUGUUUGCAAUUAUUCAUCUUCAACGAGGAUUGCCUUGUAAGCGCACGUCAUCAGCGUGCAUUGAAUACGACCCUGUAUUCUGUACACACCGCCCGUCGCUCCUACCGAUUGAAGUUUUCGGUGAGUUGACAGGAGGAUUUUUUUGAAACUGGUUCGCCAGUGGAUUUUAGAUCCAAAUGCCAACGAAUCGAUGGCUUUAGAGGAAGGAGAAGUCGUAACA
rnacentral:rRNA from 1 species